GAUGAACGCUGGCGGCGUGCUUAACACAUGCAAGUCGAACGGAAAGGCCCUGCUUUUGUGGGGUGCUCGAGUGGCGAACGGGUGUGUAACACGUGAGUAAACUGCCCUUGACUUUGGGAUAUCUUCAGGAAACUGGGGCUAAUACCGGAUAGGAGCUCCUGCUGCACGGUGGUGGUUGGAAAGUUUCGGCGGUUGGGGAUGGACUCGCGGCUUAUCAGCUUGUUGGUGGGGUAGUGGCUUACCAAGGCUUUGACGGGUAGCCGGCCUGAGAGGGUGACCGGCCACAUUGGGACUGAGAGACGGCGCAGACUGCUACCGGAGGCAGCAGUGGGGAAUAUGGCAGAAUGGGCGGAAGCCUGAUGCAGCAACGCCGCGUGCGGGAUGACGGCCUUCGAGUGGUAAACCGCUGUCGCCUGAGACGAAGCGUGAGUGACGGUAAUGGGUAAAGAAGCACCGGCUAACUACGUG
rnacentral:rRNA from 1 species